rnacentral:misc_RNA from 1 species
AACGCACCUUGCACUCUUUGGUAUUCCGAAGAGUAUGUCUGUUUGAGUGUCUUGAAACUCUCAACCCCCCUGUUUUGUAAUGAUUCAGGUGUUGGGCUUGGAUGAUGGCUGCGUGCUGGCUUGUAAAAGGUCGGCUCAGCUGAAAUACAAGAGUAUACCUCGUCUCAUCGGACGAACGGCUUGUACUUGGCGUAAUAAAUAUUUCGUCGAGGACGUUCAUCUGAAAGACGUUUCGUAUGCUUCUAACCAGUCUUCAGCUCUUCGUAGAGUAUGAACUCUUCCAACUUAGACCUCAAAUCAGGCAGGGCUACCCGCUGAACUUAA